AUGUGGCCGAUCGGACCGCUCUGUCUCGCGGUCCCCGAACCGGCAGUCCAGAGCAAAGACGACCGUGACAUCUCGGACUGGCUGGACUCGAGGCUCGCCAUGGACCGGCCGGUCCUCUACGUCGCGUUCGGCUCGCAGGCCGAGCUGAGCCGGGCGCAGCUUGAGGAGAUCGCCGUCGGGCUAGACCACUCCGGCGUAGACUUCCUAUGGGUGGUCCGGUCCAAAUGGUUCGACACGGGGGAUCGGUUUAAUGACAGGUUCGGAGAUAGGGGCAAGGUGGUGGAAGGUUUCAUCAACCAGCUGGGAGUGCUAAGUCACAAGUCAGUCAAAGGAUUUUUCACCCACUGCGGGUGGAACUCGGUGCUGGAGAGCAUCACCAUGGGUGUGCCAAUACUGGCGUUCCCGUUGGGGGCCGAGCAGAAGCUCAACGCCAAGUUCGUCGUGGACGUGGUCCACAUGGGGCUCCGAGUUUGGCCCAAAGAAGAUGCUGACAAGGAAGGCAGUGGAUUGGUUGUGAGUGGAGACGUGCAGGUGUUGGCGAGGGAGUUGAUCUUCGGAGAGGAAGGGCGACGUGCCGCGGCUAGAGCAAGUGAGCUAUCUGCGUCUUCUAGAAAGGCCAUGGAUGUGGGUGGUUCCUCGUAUGAGAACCUGACAAAGAUGGUUCACGAGGUCUGUGAGACCCGUGCCGGGAGUGAGUAA
rnacentral:rRNA from 1 species